GACGAACGCUGGCGGCGUGCUUAACACAUGCAAGUCGAACGGAAAGGCCCUGCUUGCAGGGUACUCGAGUGGCGAACGGGUGAGUAACACGUGGGUGAUCUGCCCUGCACUUCGGGAUAAGCCUGGGAAACUGGGUCUAAUACCGGAUAGGAGCCAUUUUUAGUGUGAUGGUUGGAAAGUUUUUUCGGUGUAGGAUGAGCUCGCGGCCUAUCAGCUUGUUGGUGGGGUAAUGGCCUACCAAGGCGGCGACGGGUAGCCGGCCUGAGAGGGUGGACGGCCAACAUGGGGCCGGGAAACGGCCCAGACUCCUACGGGAGGCAGCAGUGGGGAAUAUUGCACAAUGGGCGCAAGCCUGAUGCAGCGACGCCGCGUGGGGGAUGACGGCCUUCGGGUUGUAAACUCCUUUCGCUAGGGACGAAGCUUUUUGUGACGGUACCUAGAGAAGAAGCACCGGCUAACUACGUG
rnacentral:rRNA from 1 species